GAUGAACGCUGGCGGCGUGCCUAAUACAUGCAAGUCGAGCGAACAGACGAGGAGCUUGCUCCUCUGACGUUAGCGGCGGACGGGUGAGUAACACGUGGAUAACCUACCUAUAAGACUGGGAUAACUUCGGGAAACCGGAGCUAAUACCGGAUAAUAUAUUGAACCGCAUGGUUCACUAGUGAAAGACGGUUUUGCUGUCACUUAUAGAUGGAUCCGCGCCGCAUUAGCUAGUUGGUAAGGUAACGGCUUACCAAGGCAACGAUGCGUAGCCGACCUGAGAGGGUGAUCGCCCACACUGGAACUGAGACACGGUCCAGACUCCUACGGGAGGCAGCAGUAGGGAAUCUUCCGCAAUGGGCGAAAGCCUGACGGAGCAACGCCGCGUGAGUGAUGAAGGUCUUCGGAUCGUAAAACUCUGUUAUUAGGGAAGAACAAAUGUGUAAGUAACUAUGCACGUCUUGACGGUACCUAAUCAGAAAGCCACGGCUAACUACGUG
rnacentral:rRNA from 1 species